rnacentral:rRNA from 1 species
UACGGGGGGGCAAGCGUUGUUCGGAAUUACUGGGCGUAAAGGGCGUGUAGGCGGCCAACUAAGUCCGACGUGAAAUCCCCAGGCUUAACCUGGGAACUGCGUCGGAUACUGGAUGGCUUGAAUCCGGGAGAGGGAUGCAGAAUUCCAGGUGUAGCGGUGAAAUGCGUAGAUAUCUGGAGGAACACCGGUGGCGAAGGCGGCAUCCUGGACCGGCAUUGACGCUGAGGAGCGAAAGCUAGGGGAGCAAACGGG